AAAAGGAUUAACUGAGGAGUUAACCAAUCCUAGUGACAAUCACGCUCAGUCUGCUGGCCAGAGAUUGUUGUCCCACGAGCUGGGAAAUCUCUGUGCAGGGUGAGGCUGAGAGUAGUAUUGACACGUCCUUGUGAUG